GAGAGAUGAGGGGAAGAUAAGGUGACUGUAUGUAUGUUUGCAUUGGCUUUUGCACUUUCACAGUGUGAAUCCUUAAGUCUGUGCCUGCCAAAACUUAAGUUUUAUUAGAUAAGAAACCUGGGAUGCAUGUUUUUAAAAAAGAGGGAGUUUUCAUCUUGAACAGGAGAAGGUACUGAUUUUGAAGAGGUCCUUCAGACAAGCAGCUUCACAGAAUCAAAGGAUGGCUGAAGUUAGUCUUCUCUAGAGAUUGUGUAGUACAGUUCUCCCAUUUGAGUUCAACUAGAACAAGUUGCUCAGGAUCACACACAGGGAAUAAUGAUUUAGAAGAAGGCUAUACCAUGAAAUUACAUGAAGAAAAACAACAUUUUCAAACAAAAAAAGCUGUGCAGAAAGGCUCAAGAUGUUGAUAACAGUUGAAAUAUUGCCGUUUCCUACAGUGACUUGAGCAAAUUUAAAUUA